rnacentral:rRNA from 1 species
UACGGGGGGGGCAAGCGUUGUUCGGAAUUACUGGGCGUAAAGGGCUCGUAGGCGUCCAACUAAGUCCGACGUGAAAUCCCCAGGCUUAACCUGGGAACUGCGUCGGAUACUGGAUGGCUUGAAUCCGGGAGAGGGAUGCGGAAUUCCAGGUGUAGCGGUGAAAUGCGUAGAUAUCUGGAGGAACACCGGUGGCGAAGGCGGCAUCCUGGACCGGCAUUGACGCUGAGGAGCGAAAGCCAGGGGAGCAAACGGG